rnacentral:rRNA from 1 species
GGGACACGUGGUAUCCUGUCUGAAUAUGGGGGGACCAUCCUCCAAGGCUAAAUACUCCUGACUGACCGAUAGUGAACCAGUACCGUGAGGGAAAGGCGAAAAGAACCCCGGCGAGGGGAGUGAAAAAGAACCUGAAACCGUGUACGUACAAGCAGUGGGAGCACAGGUUUACCUGUGUGACUGCGUACCUUUUGUAUAAUGGGUCAGCGACUUAUAUUCUGUAGCAAGGUUAACCGUAUAGGGGAGCCGGAGGGAAACCGAGUCUUAACCGGGCGUUAAGUUGCAGGGUAUAGACCCGAAACCCGGUGAUCUAGCCAUGGGCAGGUUGAAGGUUGGGUAACACUAACUGGAGGACCGAACCGACUAAUGUUGAAAAAUUAGCGGAUGACCUGUGGCUGGGGGUGAAAGGCCAAUCAAACCGGGAGAUAGCUGGUUCUCCCCGAAAGCUAUUUAGGUAGCGCCUCGUGAAUUCAUCUCCGGGGGUAGAGCACUGUUUCGGCUAGGGGGCCAUCCCGGCUUACCAACCCGAUGCAAACUGCGAAUACCGGAGAAUGUUAUCACGGGAGACACACGGCGGGUGCUAACGUCCGUCGUGAAGAGGGAAACAACCCAGACCGCCAGCUAAGGUCCCAAAGUCAUGGUUAAGUGGGAAACGAUGUGGGAAGGCCCAGACAGCCAGGAUGUUGGCUUAGAAGCAGCCAUCAUUUAAAGAAAGCGUAAUAGCUCACUGGUCGAGUCGGCCUGCGCGGAAGAUGUAACGGGGCUAAACCAUGCACCGAAGCUGCGGCAGCGACGCUUAUGCGUUGUUGGGUAGGGGAGCGUUCUGUAAGCCGUUGAAGGUGGCCUGUGAGGG